rnacentral:tRNA from 1 species
GGACUGUGGCUCAGUGGUACAGCACUUGCCUAGCACAUGCAAGGCCCUGGGUUUGAUCCUCAGCACCA